rnacentral:rRNA from 1 species
UACGUAGGGUGCAAGCGUUAAUCGGAAUUAUUGGGCGUAAAGCGUGCGCAGGCGGUUGUGCAAGACAGAUGUGAAAUCCCCGGGCUCAACCUGGGAACUGCAUUUGUGACUGCACGGCUAGAGUGUGUCAGAGGGGGGUAGAAUUCCACGUGUAGCAGUGAAAUGCGUAGAUAUGUGGAGGAAUACCGAUGGCGAAGGCAGCCCCCUGGGAUAACACUGACGCUCAUGCACGAAAGCGUGGGGAGCAAACAGG